AGUUACAAUAGAUGCUUCGGGAAUGG
rnacentral:piRNA from 1 species